AGACAACACCUCCUGGCUGAUCCACAGCAUCAUCGAACAGCACGGAGGCCUGGAAGCUGUCAGGAAGGAGAUGCGACAUGGAGGACUUCCUCCACAGACCCUGCCCAGGAGCAGAGGUCCCCCCUCGGCACUGACCGUGAAGAAGGGACCACUGCCACCCCUGCCCGCAAUGGCAGGGCCCCAUGCCAGAAGGGUCCCAGGGUCACUCCUACGCAGCCAAAGCAUCCAAGACUUAUCCCUGGGGUCUCGGGAGGGCUAACCCUGCCCAUUCCCUUCAGCCUGGAGUCCUUGCCCCACCUCCUUCUGUACCCGCCCCCCAACUACCUGCAUCUGUUCUUGUUCAGACUGGGUCUCCAUCUCCACUCCCCUUCCCUCUUAAGCCUUGCGUUUUACCCCUUUUGGUGGGACUGCAAAGGUCUUCGUCUUUGGCACAGCACACCAGGGAAGAUGACAGCCAGAAUCUGAUCACAGAUACAUACAUCAAGGAAAGAGACCCCAUCUUCUACCAUGGUGACCGGUAGUGUGCUUGGUGCUUUGAAGAAAGUCAUGAAGACACACCCUAUGUUAUUUGCAGAUGGGAACAGUGAUGAAGAAGAUUCGCAGUUUCCAAUAUAGACUCUGGAAGAAUCAUCUAAUACAGGAAAAUGGCUUUUGCUAACCGUACCCAGAUGGAACUUCUCACCACACAAUGGGAGUUAAACAGGAAUUCUGAGCUCAAAUGAAAAUCAUUUAAAAUCAAUAAUUAAUGGCACAUUAAAGCAACCCUCUUUUAAAAAUGUACAGAACAUUUUUCUGAAUUUUACACAGAAUGUAAUGUGACUGAGUCUACAAAGUAAUUUACCCAUUUUUUUGCGUCUUAUGAUACCUUUCUGCGACCUGGCAUUACGCUGUAUAGACGUAGUGUAUUUAUACAUAAGAAUUAAGUCCUUUAAUGUUAUGUAGAAGUUUCUUGUCUUCAGCAGCACCUGCCAAGGGUUGAAGGCCCUUCUUAAUGCUGUUCGGAAUGAAAUAAACAGGAGCUAUGAUGGCUUGUUAAGUUUUUGUGU